rnacentral:rRNA from 1 species
AUUGAACGCUGGCGGCAUGCUUUACACAUGCAAGUCGAACGGCAGCGCGGGCUUCGGCCUGGCGGCGAGUGGCGAACGGGUGAGUAAUGCAUCGGAACGUGCCCAGUAGUGGGGGAUAGCCCGGCGAAAGCCGGAUUAAUACCGCAUACGACCUGAGGGUGAAAGCGGGGGAUCGAAAGGCCUCGCGCUAUUGGAGCGGCCGAUGUCGGAUUAGCUAGUUGGUAGGGUAAAGGCUUACCAAGGCGACGAUCCGUAGCUGGUCUGAGAGGACGACCAGCCACACUGGGACUGAGACACGGCCCAGACUCCUACGGGAGGCAGCAGUGGGGAAUUUUGGACAAUGGGGGCAACCCUGAUCCAGCCAUGCCGCGUGCGGGAAGAAGGCCUUCGGGUUGUAAACCGCUUUUGUUCGGGAAGAAAUCCUCUGGGCUAAUACCCCGGGGGGAUGACGGUACCGGAAGAAUAAGCACCGGCUAACUACGUG